rnacentral:sRNA from 12 species
GCGGGUCAAAUGCAGUAGCCGAAAGGUGAACCGGACCCGUGCGAAAGGAGAGAUACUUCCCGUGGGUGAAAAUCCCCGAAACUGCCCUUUGAUAGUCCUACGCGGACGCUGCUUGCAUGGCGGGUUAUUGUGCUACCCCGUUUCAUGCGCAGGGCUUACGCAGUUUAGAGGCACACCGACAACGCAACUGUACGGAGGGCGAAUACUUUUUAUAUGACCA